rnacentral:tRNA from 1 species
GUCGGGAUAGCUCACCUGGUAGAGCAGAGGACUGAAA